rnacentral:sRNA from 1 species
UUUUUUAGGCUGUAAGUAUGGAAAAUACUAAGCUGUACCCUUUUCCAUAGCUGUCCUUGCACCAGAGUUGAAAUCAUGUACAUACUGAAGAGCUGGCAUGCUACACAGUGCUUUCGUCGGGGUUACAAGCCUAGCAAAUACAAACACAGUUAUCUGAAUCAAGGGACUGCUGUUCAGAGUAAGCGAGAGUACGUGUCCUUUGUUGAGCUGAGAUUCGAUUUUACCUGGGAACCUCAUCAGGAAAAACAACUGAAGAGAGAUUCUUGGUAAACGUUGUGCUAAGACACUCUGCAUUCUCUCCACAAAAUAUCCAGCCUUAAUUCUAGAAGUGUUUGUCAGAAGUGAAUGACUCAACCAGCUUUGUAUGAGUCUGCCCAGUGCUUGAUCAGAUUGUUAACGUCUCAGUUUAAGGCCACAGGUGAGGCCAGUGAGGGGCGGGUUGCACACGAUACUGUGGUUCUGCGUAUUCUUUACCUCUCCGUGGACUCUAUUUUUCUUUGUUUCCCUUCCUCCUGUGGAUUCCGCUUUAUUAUUGUUAUCUUCUUUGGUUCUGUAUCAUUUUUAGCACUCUUUAAAAGACUGGGGGAGGAGGUGUGCAAGAAAAAUAAACAGGCAAAGCCUGCAGCCUUACGAAAAUAGCCUUGUAAUUUGAUAUGGAAGCUGUUGUUUUGAAUUCCACGGACAAUGGUUUGCAGCUCCAGGUCUUCAUCUUGCUGCUUGAAGGAGCACAGCCUAGUCUGACGGUGUUCUUGGAAACAAAGCCCCACCAAGGACUGGGAAGCAAGGGGGUCCAACAGACAUGAAAUCCCAUAAAUAUUCUUCAACUCCACAGACACUGAGAAGCCACUGUGAUUACGAGAGACCAAGGAUGAGUGCUGGGAGUGGCAAGGCCGGCGUAAGGGAAGAGGCCCACCUCUGCUAUUGGACUCUGCACCCCGACAGGAAGAAAAAAAGCCAUUUGAAGCUGAUGACUGUGUACUCUGAGAACCAAGGGACUACAGCUAAAGGAACCCUGUGCUCAACCCCAGGCCCACUAGAUGAAGACCAGCAAGCUGAUUUGUCCAUAGAGCCUUUUUUCUGCUCAUGUGGCACGUCUAUGUACUCUGCAGAGAAGAACUCCAAGCAAGGCAUUCUAUUCUUGCUGUUCCGUACCUCCUCCUGCUCUGAGCUAAUUAAGGGUCACUUCGGGAUUUCCAGAGUUUUCUUUGGUGGCUUCAGAGGGGAAAGAUAGGAGGUGGCUUUGAACAAACAGGAACCUCACCCAUAAAGCCAAUCUAGAAUUUCAACCUCAGUUCUUGUGCCAGCUGAAUCGUCACGUGGGACAGGAGCAGCGCACUGUGCCAGGGAAUUUGCCCUUAGGGAAAGACAAAACCCCAAGAGCAAGGAUACACACACACA